rnacentral:lncRNA from 1 species
CUCCGUGCAUGUUAUGGCACCUUUGGGAUGUGUUAGUCAUAAGAAUGAAGCUACUGGUGCUUUGCAGGAAUAUUUUCACUCUGGCUCUCGCAGGAGAGCUCUGACACAGCCCUGCUGUCGGCACGGCUGGGGCGCGUUUGCUCGCUGGUGCCUCCUGAGAUUCCAGACCGCUCCAAAAAAACAGGGGGAAACAUCCAAUUUUUAUUUCCUCAGGGAACACUAAGAAAAUUUUUCUUUCCGAGCCUGUCUCCUGAAACGAGCUCCAGGAGUGGUCACAACCUGCCAUAAAAAUGCCAUGUGCAAGAGAAUAUAUUUAAUAUCGGGCAAGCAGAAUGGAACGAUACGAUCUGUUUGGGGUUGGAAGCUUUUCCAGGCAAAGGAGGAUCUGCUCCAUCACCAUCUGUGCAGCCGCUGGCAGGGGCAGCUCCCCAGCCACACCAAAGGAAUUCCCCGAGCCCAAAAACACCCCAGGCAUCGCCUUUGUGAAGGACAGAACUUCACAAAGUCCAUCCCACUGAUGGAUGACAGAGGGAGGAUCUGCAGCCUGAGAGGAUCCCUUGGGAUGGCCCUGACUGCCUUGGUGACACCAUCUGAAUUACACUUCCCCUUUCAUCAGACUCCUGGCAUCACAAAAAGAGCCUCUGUGAAAACCCAUCCCUGUGUUCCUGCCUCUCUUGGAAUUGUGUUUGGCACUGGAUGAACUUCUUUGGUAAAAGCAGGAAAAUUUUGUGUGAAUCCCUGAAAAUAUUGUGAAAACCCUUAGAAAAUAUUCCUUCUGUGUGGAGUUCUUCUGUUCACAGGCUGGAUAUUC